UACGUAGGGCGCAAGCGUUGUCCGGAAUUAUUGGGCGUAAAGAGCUCGUAGGUGGCGUGUCGCGUCUGCCGUGAAAGCCCAUGGCUUAACUGUGGGUCUGCGGUGGAUACGGGCAGGCUGGAGGCUGGUAGGGGCAAGCGGAAUUCCUGGUGUAGCGGUGAAAUGCGUAGAUAUCAGGAGGAAUACCGGCGGCGAAGGCGGCCUUCUGGGCCAUUCUUGACACUGAGACGCGAAAGCGUGGGUAGCAAACAGG
rnacentral:rRNA from 1 species